CUACGGGCGGCAGCAGUGAGGAAUAUUGCACAAUGGGGGGAACCCUGAUGCAGCAACGCCGCGUGGAGGAUGACGCAUUUCGGUGUGUAAACUCCUUUUAUAUGUCAAGAAAAUGACGGUAGCAUAUGAAUAAGCACCGGCUAACUCCGUGCCAGCAGCCGCGGUAAUACGGAGGGUGCAAGCGUUACUCGGAAUCACUGGGCGUAAAGGAAACGUAGGCGGGUUGGAAAGUCAGGUGUGAAAUCCUACAGCUUAACUGUAGAACUGCACUUGAAACUUCUAAUCUAGAGUAUGGGAGGGGGAGAUGGAAUUAGUGGUGUAGGGGUAAAAUCCGUAGAUAUCACUAGGAAUACCUAAAGCGAAGGCGAUCUCCUGGAACAUUACUGACGCUAAGGCGUGAAAGCGUGGGGAGCAAACAGGAUUAGAUACCCUAGUAGUC
rnacentral:rRNA from 1 species